rnacentral:rRNA from 1 species
AACGUAGGGGGCGAGCGUUAUCCGGAAUCACUGGGCGUAAAGGGCGUCUAGGCGGCACGUCAAGUCUUGCGUGAAAUCUCCUGGCUCAACUAGGAGAGUGCGUGGGAAACUAGCGAGCUAGAGACGUGGAGGGGUGCACGGAAUUCCCGGUGGAGUGGUGGAAUGCGUUGAGAUCGGGAGGAACACCAGAAGCGAAGGCGGUGCACUGGCCACGGACUGACGCUGAAGCGCGACAGCGUGGGGAACGAACGGG